rnacentral:sRNA from 1 species
UGCCUAAACCCAGCAGAAAUGCGGGGCAUGGCAUAAAGCCAGUCAAGGGUAGAGAUCCCAUCGUUGGGGAACACCUUGACUGGUCUAUGCCCGAAAGGGUGUAGGGUAGCGAAAGCUAUC